rnacentral:rRNA from 1 species
GACGAACGCUGGCGGCGUUCUUUACUCAUGCAAGUCGAACUGCAAGGCCCUGCUGGCACGGUACUCUAGUGGCGAACGGGUGCGUAACACUUUGUUGGUCUCCCCUGCACUUCGCGAUAAUCCUUCGAAUCUGGGUCUAUUACCGCCUAGGAGCCACUUUUCGCGUGCUUGUUGGAAAGAUUUUUCUGUGUAGGCUCAGCUCGCGGCCUAUCAGCUUGUUCGUGGGGUAAUGGCCUCCCAAGGCGGCGACGGGUAGCCGGCCUGAGAGGGUGGACGGCCACAAUGGGAUGGGGAAACGGACGAGACUCCUACGGGAGGCAGCAGGGGGGAAGAGUGCACAAAAAGCGAAAGCCUGAUGCAGCGAAGCCGAGUGGGGGAUGACGGGCUUCGGGGUGUAAACUCCGUUCGAGAGGGACGAAGCUUUUUGGGACGGUACCUAGAUAAGAAGCACCGGCUAACUACGUG